UGGGGAAUAUUGGACAAUGGGCGAAAGCCUGAUCCAGCCAUGCCGCGUGAGUGAUGAAGGCCCUAGGGUUGUAAAGCUCUUUCACCGGUGAAGAUAAUGACGGUAGCCGGAGAAGAAGCACCGGCUAACUUCGUGCCAGCAGCCGCGGUAAUACGAAGGGGGCUAGCGUUGUUCGGAAUUACUGGGCGUAAAGCGCACGUAGGCGGAUUGUUAAGUCGGGGGUGAAAUCCCGGGGCUCAACCCCGGAACUGCCUUCGAUCCUGGCAAUCUAGAGUCCGGAAGAGGUGAGUGGAAUUCCGAGUGUAGAGGUGAAAUUCGUAGAUAUUCGGAGGAACACCAGUGGCGAAGGCGGCUCACUGGCCCGAUACUGACGCUGAGGCACGAAAGCGUGGGGAGCAAACA
rnacentral:rRNA from 1 species